GUCCUUUAGAAAAUAAUUUAAGGUCUAACCUGCCCACUGAAUUUUGAAGGGCCGCAGUAUUUUGACUGUGCUAAGGUAGCAUAAUCAUUAGUUUUUUAAUUGAAAGCUGGAAUGAAGGGUUGAAUGAGAAAAUAGCUGUCUCUAUUAAAUUUUUUAGAAUUUUAUUUCUAAGUUAAAAAGCUUAGAUUAUAUUUAAAGACGAGAAGACCCUAUAGAGUUUAAUAAAUCUUGAAUUUUUAAAAUAAUAGGAAUUUUUUAUUUUUAAAUUUAAUAUUUAUUUUGUUGGGGUGAUGGAAAAAUUUAUUUAACUUUUUUUUACUUUUUUCAUUUAUUUAUGUAAGAUUGAUCCUUUUUUUAAGAUUAAAAGAUUAAAUUACCUUAGGGAUAACAGCGUAAUUUUUUUUGAGAGUUCUAAUCGAAAAAAAAGAUUGCGACCUCGAUGUUGGAUUAAAAUUAAAUUUUGGUGUAGAAGCUAAAAAUUUUAGGUCUGUUCGACCUUUAAAAUUUUACAUGAUCUGAGUUUAAACCGGUGUGAGCCAGGUUGGUUUCUAUCUUAAGUAAGUUUUAAUAUUUUAGUACGAAAGGACCAAAUAUUAAAUUUAUAAUUUAUAUUUUUGAAUUAAAUUAUUAUUUUGGCAGAUUAGUGCAAUAGAUUUAGAAUCUUUGAAUGUAAAUUUAUUUACAAAUAAUACUUGUUAUUUAAAGAUUUAUUUUUAACUUUAGUUUCUUGUUUAAUUUUGUUAGUUUGUGUUCUUGUAGGGGUGGCUUUUUUGACUUUACUGGAACGUAAAGUUUU
rnacentral:rRNA from 1 species